rfam:Enteractinococcus sp. TASWS1574 95, whole genome shotgun sequence.
GGGGCGUUAGCUCAGUUGGUUAGAGCAGAGGACUCAUAAUCCUUUGGUCACCGGUUCAAGUCCGGUACGCCCUA